CUCGUAGGCGGUUCGGUAAGUCGGGUGUGAAAACCUUGGGCUCAACCCAAGGACUGCAUCCGAUACUGCUGUGACUUGAGUCCGGUAGGGGAGUGGGGAAUUCCUGGUGUAGCGGUGGAGUGCGCAGAUAUCAGGAGGAACACCGGUGGCGAAGGCGCCACUCUGGGCCGGUACUGACGCUGAGGAGCGAAAGCGUGGGGAGCGAACA
rnacentral:rRNA from 1 species